AUUUCUAUGCACGUGUAAACAUGUCACCCUGCAGACAGAAAUAGCCUAUUUGCAUCUAAGUUUGAACUUCUUUGCAAGUAGGGCAGUGUUAUAUAGUGAUUAUUCACAAUGAUUUAGCAACAUUGUGAAAGCGGCAAAGAGUCGGUGUCUAAAUCAAUGUAAAAUGGUUUACUUAUAGUUGCUUUUAAAAAAAGGUGUUUUUGGUGAUGCACUGCAGAGUUUAGCUCCAACUCUGGCAAGAUUUGAAUAGCCCUGGUCUAUAGACUGU